rnacentral:rRNA from 1 species
GACGGAGGAUGCAAGUGUUAUCCGGGAAUCACUGGGCGUAAAGCGUCUGUAGGUGGUUUAAUAAGUCAACUGUUAAAUCUUGAGGCUCAACCUCAAAAUCGCAGUCGAAACUAUUAGGCUAGAGUAUAGUAGGGGUAAAGGGAAUUUCCAGUGGAGCGGUGAAAUGCGUAGAGAUCGGAAAGAACACCAACGGCGAAAGCACUCUGCUGGGCCGACACUGACACUGAGAGACGAAAGCUAGGGGAGCGAAUGGG